rnacentral:rRNA from 1 species
GUGGGGAAUAUUGGACAAUGGGGGGAACCCUGAUCCAGCCAUGCCGCGUGUGUGAAGAAGGCCUUUUGGUUGUAAAGCACUUUAAGCGAGGAGGAGGCUACCGAGAUUAAUACUCUUGGAUAGUGGACGUUACUCGCAGAAUAAGCACCGGCUAACUCUGUGCCAGCAGCCGCGGUAAUACAGAGGGUGCAAGCGUUAAUCGGAUUUACUGGGCGUAAAGUGCGCGUAGGUGGCCAAUUAAGUCAAAUGUGAAAUCCCCGAGCUUAACUUGGGAAUUGCAUUCGAUACUGGUUGGCUAGAGUAUGGGAGAGGAUGGUAGAAUUCCAGGUGUAGCGGUGAAAUGCGUAGAGAUCUGGAGGAAUACCGAUGGCGAAGGCAGCCAUCUGGCCUAAUACUGACGCUGAGGUACGAAAGCAUGGGGAGCAAACAGGAUUAGAUACCCCAGUAGUCC